rnacentral:rRNA from 1 species
AACGCGAAGAACCUUACCUGGAUUUGACAUCUUCUGACAAACGUAGAGAUACGUCUUUCGUAGCAAUACGACAGAAAGACAGGUGCUGCAUGGCUGUCGUCAGCUCGUGUCGUGAGAUGUUGGGUUAAGUCCCGCAACGAGCGCAACCCUCGUCCUAUGUUGCCAGCGGGUUAUGCCGGGGACUCAUGGGAGACUGCCGGGGUCAACUCGGAGGAAGGUGGGGAUGACGUCAAGUCAUCAUGCCCCUUAUGUCUUGGGCUGCAAACAUGCUACAAUGGCCGGUACAAAGCGACUGCGACAUCGUGAGAUGAAGCGAAUCGCAUAAAGCCGGUCUCAGUUCGGAUCGGGGUCUGCAACCCGGCCCCGUGAAGCCGGAGUCGCUAGUAAUCGCGGAUCAGCAACGCCGCGGUGAAUACGUUCCCGGGCCUUGUACACACCGACAUA